rnacentral:rRNA from 1 species
UACAGAGGGGGCAAGCGUUGUUCGGAAUUACUGGGCGUAAAGGGCGCGUAGGCGGCCUUCUAAGUCGAACGUGAAAUCCCCGGGCUCAACCCGGGAACUGCGUCCGAUACUGGAAGGCUUGAAUCCGGGAGAGGAUGGCGGAAUUCCCAGUGUAGAGGUGAAAUUCGUAGAUAUUGGGAAGAACACCGGUGGCGAAGGCGGCCAUCUGGACCGAUACUGACGCUGAGGAGCGAAAGCCAGGGGAGCAAACGGG